rnacentral:rRNA from 1 species
CGCCAACACUGGGACUGAGAACUGCCCAGACUCCUACGGGAGGCUGCAGUCGAGAAUCUUUCGCAAUGGGCGAAAGCCUGACGAAGCGACGCCGUGUGAGCGAUGAAGGCCUUCGGGUUGUAAAGCUCUUUCGCUUGGGAACAAGAAAGGGUAGCAAAUAACUACCCAAUUUGAGGGUACCAGGUAAAGAAG